CCUACGGGAGGCUGCAGUGGGGAAUAUUGCACAAUGGGGGAAACCCUGAUGCAGCGACGCCGCGUGAGUGAAGAAGUAUUUCGGUAUGUAAAGCUCUAUCAGCAGGGAAGAAAAUGACGGUAACUGAUUAAGACGCCCCGGCUAACUCCGUGCCAGCAGCCGCGGUAAUACGUAGUGGGCAAGCGUUAUCCGGAUUUAUUGGGUUUAAAGGGUGCGUAGGCGGAGUGUCAAGUCAGCUGUAAAAUUUCGGGGCUCAACCCCGUCGUGCCGUUGAAACUGACACCCUUGAGUGAGUGAGAAGUAAGCGGAAUGCGUGGUGUAGCGGUGAAAUGCAUAGAUAUCACGCAGAACGCCGAUUGCGAAGGCAGCUUACCGGCGCUCAACUGACGCUGAGGCACGAAAGUGCGGGUAUCGAACAGGAGUAAUACCCUAGUAGUC
rnacentral:rRNA from 1 species